rnacentral:rRNA from 1 species
AGUGAACGCUGGCGGUAGGCCUAACACAUGCAAGUCGAACGGCAGCACAGGAGAGCUUGCUCUCUGGGUGGCGAGUGGCGGACGGGUGAGGAAUACAUCGGAAUCUACUCUGUCGUGGGGGAUAACGUAGGGAAACUUACGCUAAUACCGCAUACGACCUACGGGUGAAGGCAGGGGAUCUUCGGACCUUGCGCGAUUGAAUGAGCCGAUGUCGGAUUAGCUAGUUGGCGGGGUAAAGGCCCACCAAGGCGACGAUCCGUAGCUGGUCUGAGAGGAUGAUCAGCCACACUGGAGCUGAGACACGGUCCAGACUCCUACGGGAGGCAGCAGUGGGGAAUAUUGGACAAUGGGCGCAAGCCUGAUCCAGCCAUACCGCGUGGGUGAAGAAGGCCUUCGGGUUGUAAAGCCCUUUUGUUGGGAAAGAAAUCCAGCUGGCUAAUACCCGGUCGGGAUGACGGUACCCAAAGAAUAAGCACCGGCUAACUUCGUGCCAGCCGCCGCGGUAA